rnacentral:rRNA from 2 species
AAAUUGAAGAGUUUGAUCAUGGCUCAGAUUGAACGCUGGCGGCAGGCCUAACACAUGCAAGUCGAGCGGUAGCACAGAGAGCUUGCUCUCGGGUGACGAGCGGCGGACGGGUGAGUAAUGUCUGGGAAACUGCCUGAUGGAGGGGGAUAACUACUGGAAACGGUAGCUAAUACCGCAUAAUGUCGCAAGACCAAAGUGGGGGACCUUCGGGCCUCAUGCCAUCAGAUGUGCCCAGAUGGGAUUAGCUAGUAGGUGGGGUAACGGCUCACCUAGGCGACGAUCCCUAGCUGGUCUGAGAGGAUGACCAGCCACACUGGAACUGAGACACGGUCCAGACUCCUACGGGAGGCAGCAGUGGGGAAUAUUGCACAAUGGGCGCAAGCCUGAUGCAGCCAUGCCGCGUGUAUGAAGAAGGCCUUCGGGUUGUAAAGUACUUUCAGCGGGGAGGAAGGCGAUAAGGUUAAUAACCUUGUCGAUUGACGUUACCCGCAGAAGAAGCACCGGCUAACUCCGUGCCAGCAGCCGCGGUAAUACGGAGGGUGCAAGCGUUAAUCGGAAUUACUGGGCGUAAAGCGCACGCAGGCGGUCUGUCAAGUCGGAUGUGAAAUCCCCGGGCUCAACCUGGGAACUGCAUUCGAAACUGGCAGGCUAGAGUCUUGUAGAGGGGGGUAGAAUUCCAGGUGUAGCGGUGAAAUGCGUAGAGAUCUGGAGGAAUACCGGUGGCGAAGGCGGCCCCCUGGACAAAGACUGACGCUCAGGUGCGAAAGCGUGGGGAGCAAACAGGAUUAGAUACCCUGGUAGUCCACGCCGUAAACGAUGUCGAUUUGGAGGUUGUGCCCUUGAGGCGUGGCUUCCGGAGCUAACGCGUUAAAUCGACCGCCUGGGGAGUACGGCCGCAAGGUUAAAACUCAAAUGAAUUGACGGGGGCCCGCACAAGCGGUGGAGCAUGUGGUUUAAUUCGAUGCAACGCGAAGAACCUUACCUGGUCUUGACAUCCACAGAACUUAGCAGAGAUGCUUUGGUGCCUUCGGGAACUGUGAGACAGGUGCUGCAUGGCUGUCGUCAGCUCGUGUUGUGAAAUGUUGGGUUAAGUCCCGCAACGAGCGCAACCCUUAUCCUUUGUUGCCAGCGGUUAGGCCGGGAACUCAAAGGAGACUGCCAGUGAUAAACUGGAGGAAGGUGGGGAUGACGUCAAGUCAUCAUGGCCCUUACGACCAGGGCUACACACGUGCUACAAUGGCAUAUACAAAGAGAAGCGACCUCGCGAGAGCAAGCGGACCUCAUAAAGUAUGUCGUAGUCCGGAUUGGAGUCUGCAACUCGACUCCAUGAAGUCGGAAUCGCUAGUAAUCGUAGAUCAGAAUGCUACGGUGAAUACGUUCCCGGGCCUUGUACACACCGCCCGUCACACCAUGGGAGUGGGUUGCAAAAGAAGUAGGUAGCUUAACCUUCGGGAGGGCGCUUACCACUUUGUGAUUCAUGACUGGGGUGAAGUCGUAACAAGGUAACCGUAGGGGAACCUGCGGUUGGAUCACCUCCUUACCUUAAAGAA